rnacentral:rRNA from 1 species
AUACGUAGGUGGCGAGCGUUGUCCGGAAUUACUGGGCGUAAAGGGCGCGUAGGCGGCCUGUCAAGUCAGAUGUGAAAUCCCCGGGCUUAACCCGGGAACUGCAUUUGAAACUGGCGGGCUUGAGGGCAGGAGAGGAAAGCGGAACUCCCAGUGUAGCGGUGAAAUGCGUAGAUAUUAGGAGGAACACCGGUGGCGAAGGCGGCUUACUGGACUGUAACUGACGCUGAGUCACGAAAGCGUGGGUAGCAAACAGGAUUAGAUACCCUGGUAGUCCACGCUGUAAACGAUGAGUGCUAGGUGUUGGGCAGCAAUGCUCAGUGCCGAAGUAAACACAAUAAGCACUCCGCCUGGGGAGUACGUACGCAAGUAUGAA